GCAGUCGUGGCCGAGUGGUAAAGGCGAUGCACUAGAAAUCCAUUGGGGUCUCCCCGCACAGGUUCGAAUCCUGUCGACUGCG
rnacentral:tRNA from 2 species